rnacentral:rRNA from 2 species
AACGAACGCUGGCGGCAGGCUUAACACAUGCAAGUCGAACGGGCGUAGCAAUACGUCAGUGGCAGACGGGUGAGUAACACGUGGGAACGUCCCCCUCGGUUCGGAACAACUCAGGGAAACUUGAGCUAAUACCGGAUACGUCCGAGAGGAGAAAGAUUUAUCGCCGAGGGAUCGGCCCGCGUCUGAUUAGCUAGUUGGUGAGGUAACGGCUCACCAAGGCGACGAUCAGUAGCUGGUCUGAGAGGAUGAUCAGCCACACUGGGACUGAGACGCGGCCCAGACUCCUACGGGAGGCAGCAGCGGGUAUAUUGGACAAUGGGCGCAAGCCUGAUCCAGCCAUGCCGCGUGAGUGAUGAAGGCCUUAGGGUUGUAAAGCUCUUUUGCCAGGGAAGAUAAUGACUGUACCUGGAGAAUAAGCCCCGGCUAACUUCGUGCCAGCAGCCGCGGUAAU